rnacentral:lncRNA from 1 species
AACAAACAAUAUCUCUAAGUGGACUGAAAUGAGAUUCCAUAUGACACACGUCAUCUAGGAGUUCCAUUAGGUCCGUCAAAAUUGAUUUCUAAGCAUAUGUUACAUUCCAUGCAAACCGGUGCACCUAUCUUGCAUCAAGAUUAGCACUAUCUCAAAACAGAUCAAACCAAGCUUCCACUUGAGCCCCUUUACCUAGGAGUACCAUUAGGUGUGUCCAAAAAGGUUCUUAGCCUAUGGUGCAUUAGGCGCAAACCAUUCAUCUAUCUUGCACAGAAACUAAUACUGUCUCAAGACAGACUAAAGCGAGGCUCCAUAUGACACACAUCAUCUACUAGUUCCAUCGGGUGCAUCCAAAUUGAUUUCCAGAAAUAUUCUAUGGCUAUGCAAACCGUGCUCCUAUCUUGCAUCAAGAUUACCACUAUCUCCAAAUAGACCAAACUGAGCUUCCAUUUGAGCCUCUUCACCUAGGAGUACCAUCAGGUGCGUCCAAAAUGGUUCUUAGCCUAUGGUGCACUAGGUGCAAACCAUGCACCUAUCUUCCACAUAAACUAACAUUGUCUCCCAACAGACUGAAGUGAGAUUCCAUGUGACACACGUCAUCUACGUGUUCCAUCGGGUGCGUCUAAAUUGAUUUCCGAGCAUAUUCUAUGUCCAUGCAAACCGUGCUCCUAUCUUGCAUCAAGAUUAACACUAUCUCCAAAUAGACCAAACUGUGCUUCCACUGCCUCUUCACCUAGGAUUACCAUCAAGUGCAUCCAAAAUGGUUUCUUAGACUAUGGUGAAUUAGGCGAAAACUGUGCACCUAUCUUGCACCAAAACUAACACUAUGUCCAAAUGAACCGAAGUGAUUCCAUGUGACACACAUCAUCUAGGAGUUCUAUCAGGUGUGUCCAAAUUUAUUUCUGAGCAUACGGUAUGUUCCACAUAAACCGUGCACCAAUCUUGCAUCAAGAUUAGCACUGUCUCCAAAUAGACCAAAUCGAGCUUCCACUUGAGCCUCUUCACC